CCGGAUGUAGGGGAGCGGUACCCCGCCGUGUUCGGGACACGGAAGUCGUGGGUUCGAUCCCCACCAUUCGGA
rnacentral:tRNA from 1 species